rnacentral:rRNA from 1 species
CCUACGGGAGGCAGCAGUGAGGAAUAUUGGUCAAUGGCCGGAAGGCUGAACCAGCCAUGCCGCGUGAAGGUCAGUGCCCUAUGGGCGUUAAACUUCUUUUGUGCGGGAGCAAUAAUGGUCACGUGUGGCCAGACGAGAGUACCGUACGAAUAAGCAUCGGCUAACUCCGUGCCAGCAGCCGCGGUAAUACGGGGGAUGCAAGAGUUAGCCGGAUUUAUUGGGUUUAAAGGGUGCGUAGGCUGUGAGGUAAGUCAGCGGGGAAAUGCCCCCGCUCAACGGGGUGAAGUGCCAUUGAUACUGCCUUGCUGGAAUGCGGAUGCCGUGGGAGGAAUGUGUGGUGUAGCGGUGAAAUGCAUAGAUAUCACACAGAACACCGAUUGCGAAGGCAUCUCACGAAUCCGCGAUUGACGCUGAUGCACGAAAGCGUGGGUAUCAAACAGGAUUAGAUACCCCUGUAGUC